GACUCAAGUCUAAUGAGAGGAGAUCCCCUUGGCCCGCCCCACCCUGAAAAUGGGCUUAAAAGCCGAUCCUCCUGCUGUUUUCAGGCUUCCCUUAUUUAGACAACUUCUUGGCUCUUUUUUUUUCCUCCCCAUUUCACAGUUUGUUUUUGGGAUAGGGUGGAGUGGAGAGGCAGGCAGGAGGCCUGGCUAGGGUGUGUUUGUUGUGUCCUGGCUGUUUGUACUUGGAGCUGGAGCUGACCCCAGCUGGGGCCCAAGAGACCCAGGGGCUGGAGGAAUGUCAAGCUUAGGUCUCAGGCCUGCCUCUGGCACCCACCAGAAGUCACGGGGCAUGGAAUAUUAGACUCACGUGAAGCAGGGAAUUCGUACCAGAGCCAAGAAUGCUUGCAGCAGUCAGGGAAUGACCAUGUGGAAGGAGUCCAGCUCCCCCAGCUCAUAGGCCUACGGAGUCUCCAAGACAGAGUGGCUUUCUUACACCCACCCAGGGCUACGCCCUACCAGCCCAGACGGCUCUCUUCACUCGGCUGGGCCCAGGUGCACCUCACCUUAACAGCAAGUCAUCCAGGACUGGCCAGAACAGAAAAGCAAUGCUGUCAAGCCAUCGUGGUUCAGAACAGCUGGUCCAGUUCAAGGUUCUCACUUUAUAAAUGAGGAAACUGAGGCCCAGAGAAGAGAAAGGACAAGUCCAAGACCACACAGGGAGUUAGAGGCAGAGCUGGUUCCCCAACUUACAGCCCAUCGUUCACUGACUCUACUAGUCUGGAGGCAGACUGUGGAGCAACAGUUGGGCAAAGAGGAAGGCCUCAAGGUUGUUGUCACACUGCUCGAUGCAGGGAACAUCGGAUCUAUGCUAGGCACUGGGCUUUAUCCUGACCAUCCCAUUUAAUCCUCCCAGCAGGCCUGGCCCCAUUUCUGGCCCCUAUCCUACUUCCCUAUUUUUGAACAACAGCCUCAGCUUUCCAGUUCUCCAGAUUGGAAACAUCUGAAUCACCAUUUUCUACACUGUCGUUUCCUCGUUUCUGUUCAGCUCUCCCUUCACGACGGUCUACUUCUGGCUCUCAUCACCACUUGCCUGCAUUAUUCUAACAGCUUCCAGUCUCCACCAUCCCAUCCAAUAACACCGGCAUGCCGGUAGUCUCCCUCACAGCCUGCCUGGUGGCUGUCUAAACUGACAAGUGAUGCAGAAGUAAUGACCAUAGUUAUUUCUCCAAGUUUCCAUAGCACUCACCAGCUUGUUCAAUGCUUUUAAUAUUAUUAUCUUGUGCAAUGAAUUAGGAGACUUGAGUUCUAGUCCAGUUUGAAUUCUUGGGCAAGUCAAGACCAUGUGGGCAAAUGUGUUUCGCCACUCC